rnacentral:rRNA from 1 species
GACGAACGCUGGCGGGGUGCUUAACACAUGCAAGUCGAACGGAAAGGCCCUGCUUUUGUGGGGUGCUCGAGUGGCGAACGGGUGAGUAACACGUGAGUAACCUGCCCUUGACUUUGGGAUAACUUCAGGAAACUGGGGCUAAUACCGGAUAGGAGCUCCUGCUGCAUGGUGGGGGUUGGAAAGUUUCGGCGGUUGGGGAUGGACUCGCGGCUUAUCAGCUUGUUGGUGGGGUAGUGGCUUACCAAGGCUUUGACGGGUAGCCGGCCUGAGAGGGUGACCGGCCACAUUGGGACUGAGAUACGGCCCAGACUCCUACGGGAGGCAGCAGUGGGGAAUAUUGCACAAUGGGCGGAAGCCUGAUGCAGCAACGCCGCGUGCGGGAUGACGGCCUUCGGGUUGUAAACCGCUUUCGCCUGUGACGAAGCGUGAGUGACGGUAAUGGGAAAAGAAGCACCGGCUAACUACGUG